rfam:Stegodyphus mimosarum contig64281, whole genome shotgun sequence.
GCCUUCGUGGUGUAGUGGUCAGCACACUCGUCGCGUAUGCGAGAGGUCAGUGGUUCGAGUCCCGGCUAGGGCA